rnacentral:rRNA from 1 species
UACGAGGGGGGCGAGCGUUGUUCGGAAUUAUUGGGCGUAAAGCGCUUGUAGGCGGCACGUCAAGUCGCGUGUGAAAUCCCCAGGCUUAACCUGGGAAGUGCGCGCGAAACUGACGAGCUUGAGUGCCGGAGAGGGUCGCGGAAUUCCCGGUGUAGAGGUGAAAUUCGUAGAUAUCGGGAGGAACACCAGUGGCGAAGGCGGCGACCUGGACGGACACUGACGCUGAGACGCGAAAGCGUGGGGAGCAAACAGG